rnacentral:lncRNA from 1 species
CCUAAAGAAAUAUGUAGUAAUAUGGUACCCAAAGGUGGGAUCCUAAAGAAUAUGUAGUAAUAUGGUACCCAAAGGUGGGAUCCUAAAGAAUAUGUAGUAAUAUGGUACCCAAAGGUGGGAUCCUAAAGAAUAUGUAGUAAUAUGGUACCCAAAGGUGGGAUCCUAAAGAAUAUGUAGUAAUAUGGUACCCAAAGGUGGGAUCCUAAAGAAUAUGUAGUAAUAUGGUACCCAAAGGUGGGAUCCUAAAGAAAUAUGUAGUAAUAUGGUACCCAAAGGUGGGAUCCUAAAGAAUAUGUAGUAAUAUGGUACCCAAAGGUGGGAUCCUAAAGAAUAUGUAGUAAUAUGGUACCCAAAGGUGGGAUCCUAAAGAAUAUGUAGUAAUAUGGUACCCAAAGGUGGGAUCCUAAAGAAUAUGUAGUAAUAUGGUACCCAAAGGUGGGAUCCUAAAGAAUAUGUAGUAAUAUGGUACCCAAAGGUGGGAUCCUAAAGAAUAUGUAGUAAUAUGGUACCCAAAGGUGGGAUCCUAAAGAAUAUGUAGUAAUAUGGUACCCAAAGGUGGGAUCCUAAAGAAAUAUGUAGUAAUAUGGUACCUAAAUGUGGGAUCCUAAAGAAUAUGUAGUAAUAUGGUACCUAAAUGUGGGAUUCUAAGUUAAGAAUUUCCUUAAGUAGAUACGUAUGAAGGUAUGUAUGUAUGUAUGUAUGUGUGAAUAUAAGUGGUAUGUAUGAAUGAAUGUAUGUAUGUAUGUAUGUAAGUGUGUAUGUAGGUAGUAUGUGUAUGUGUAUAUAUAUAUCCAAGUGAGUAUGUACGAAAGUGUGUGCACGUAUGUAGGGUUGUGAGAAGGCAUGUAAUAGGUAUGUAUGUAGUCAUGUAUGCAUGUAUGUAUGUAGGUAUGCACGUAUGUAGGAACGUACGUAUGAAUGUAGGUACGUAGGUUUGUAAGUAGUUAUGUGUGAACGGAUGCACAUAUGUAAGUAUGUAUGAAAGUAUAUACGCAUGUAUUCAAUGAAAUUGAGUAUUGACGAUAAUAAUAGUGUGCCUUGUGAACGAAGUGUAACGCAGGUACAAUGAGAAAGUCUCACCACGGAAUGUACGAUCAGAUGGAAAGCUGGGAUGUAAAGAAUUAACGGAACAAAAGUAAACGUGAAUAAAUCUUGUAUGUUUAUAAUGCGUACUAAUGUUAUGAAUUUAAUGUGGUGAGCGCAGGUAGUACGAGUCAUGAGGAUCAUCAAGGAACAGAGAUCGAGGAUCGAGUCACUAGUGAGAUUGUACGGGAACGUUGAUGUAUAUAAUGUAGUAAACAUAAGCUAUGUUUUUACUUAGUAAAUAAGUCGAUUGAUGGAUUUAUGUGAAAGAGUUAUGUUAAAGUUAAUUU